GCGCCUGUAGCUCAGCUGGAUAGAGCGUCUGGCUACGAACCAGAAGGUCGGGAGUUCGAGUCUCUCCAGGCGCGCCA
rnacentral:tRNA from 1 species